AUCCGAAAUAGGGCUCACCCGGAUGCUAAUUCACUUGAGGAGAUAUUAGUUAAUCAAAAUGAAAUGAAGUCUGACAUCAAGAAGUUGAACAUCUGAUUGGAUAACUCUGAAAAGCAAAUAAAUUCAAGAAUUGAUAAUCAUGACAAACAUAUCGAGAUGCUUGAAAAUCAAGUUUCUCAAAUAGCUAGUUCUUCUUCCUGAAUAGUUCAAGAGAAUUUUCCUAGCAAACCUGAACUAAAUCACGUGGAGAAUUGCAAGGCAAUUGAGCUAAGGAGCGGAUAAACCUUGGGCAAUCCCCAAGUGGCUGCUACAAUUGAAGAUGAAAUUGAUCUAAGUCAAGAGCCAUCUACUCCUUUCUCACAUCCAGAGAGAGACAAAGAGGAGGAGGAGAUUACCAUCAAGGUUGGAGAGCUCUGACCUACAAUUAAACUUUAAACAGUUCCAUUCCCUCAAAGAAUGCUCAGAGCACAGAAAGAUGCAGAGUUUGAAAAUUUUUUAGAAAAAAUCAAAAUUUUUUUUAGAAAAAAUCAAAGAAAUUUGUAUUGAUAUACUUUUAUUGGACGCUCUACAUCAAAUUCCUAAAUUUGCUAAGUUUAUGAGAGACAUAAUUUCAAACAAGAGAAAGAAGGAUGGGUUUGAGACUGUGGCUUUAACGAAAGAUGUUAGUACAUUACUUUUGAAUGCCUUGCCUCCCAAGCUCCAAGAUCCAGGUAGUUUUUUAAUACCAUGCAAAAUCAAUGAUAUUAUGAUAUACAAAGCCUUUUGUGGUCUAGGAGCUAGUGUCAGUCUCAUGCCAUUCUCCAUUUGUAAGAAGCUGGGUUUAAGUGAUCUGAAGUUAACUACUAUUUCACUUCAAUUAGCGGACUCAACAUGCAGAUAUCCACUAGGUAUAGUUGAAGAUGUGAAGGUAGAAAUAGGAAAUUUUAUUUUCCCUACAGAUUUUGUGGUCCUGGACAUGGAAGAGGACUCAAAGAUUACUAUAAUUCUUGAAAGAACUUUUCUCGCCAUAGCUUGAGCAAACAAAGAUGUGAAGAAUCACAAGCUAUCACUGAAAGUUGGCAAGGAAGAUCUUGCCUUUAACUUAUCCCCAGCAUCACCGUAUCCUUAUUUUGAAAUAAUUCCAAACUCUUUUCCAAGUACUUUGAUGUUAAUUGAAAAUGGUUAUAGGUUUGGAGAAGACUGAAAAAUUUCUGUAUCAUCUGACUAAAUCCCCAGACAUAACAGUUAGUGUGGGGAAGUAAUAGGCAGUUUUGGUAGGAAACUAUCAGAUUUGGCUUCACCAUCUUUCUGUUAUAGCUGGCUGUGGAGGGGAACACCUCCCUUUCAAGGUCAAGGCUUUAAGUUGAGCUGUGUCAAAGGUUGAGCUUGGGACCUAAAAUAAGCUCUCCUUGGGAGGCACCCCAAGAGUUUUAUUAUCUUGUUUCAUAUUUUUCUGCUUUAUGGAGCCUAAUAGUUUCAUCUUUGUACUUUUCAAAUUUUAGACUUGGCCAUGCCAUUUGGCACAGCCUGAAGAGCAAAUAAGGUCAUGCUUGUACCAUUUGGCACAAGCAAAGGAAGGAAAACAUAUUCAUCUUGGCUCUGCUCGUGCUAAUUGGCAUGGACAAACUCGGCUAGAAUAAGCUCCCAUGCCCUUUGGCACGGGGAAUGGGGAGUACCCAUUCCCUAAGACACGGGUUAGGAAAAUAUAACAGAGCCACUUUGGAUCUGCCCAUGCUAUUUUCCACCAGUAUGAAGCAACAAGGGAGGCAAACCAUGUCAAAAUACAUGACCACAAAAUAAAGAGGCAGAGCCAUUUUGGUUUUGCCCAUGUCAAAAGACAUGGCCACAUAAUGGGCCAUGUCAAUAACACACAGCUAGGUUAUAAACCCAGUCGUGGCCAUGCCCUAGGGCACAACACCGCACACUCCCUUCUUCUUCUCAAAUUUUCUUUCCUCCUCUUAAGUUUUCUUCUCUAUUUUUUUUCCUUAGAUUGGACCAUAUCUCUUCAAAAUCAUGUAUCAUCGACGCAACAAUGGACUUGGGGCUUCUUUGAGCAAGGGCAAGGAAUCAAUUGUUAUCAAUGAAGAACCUAAUGCACAUUACAAAGGACUCAAAGAUUAGGAGGAGGACAAUUACAUGAUGGAGAAGUUUAUGACAUGGGUAUUUGACAUGCAUCAUUUGGUAGUAGAUAGAUGAUAUGUGGAGUCAUUUGGAGAUCUUGUCCACCAGUCCCAUGUCACAUCAAGCGUUUUCCCCGUUAUUGCUUUUACUUGCAUUAUUGGUUUCCGGACUUGCUUAUGUAAUAAAUAACUUGUGUGUGGAUUUUGGACUUAUGGUGAUCUUUUAUUCAGUUAUGUACUUGUUGUGUUAAGUCGUACCGAUACGCAAUCAUUUCAAUUUGUAUGUUGAGUGGGUUUUGAUAUAUUUUUCUAUUAUGUAGUAGGUUAUUUUA